rnacentral:tRNA from 1 species
GAGCACGUAACUCAGUGGAUAGAGUGUCAGAUUCCGGUUCUGAUGGUCGUGGGUUCGAAUCCCUCCGUGCUUA